UACGUAGGGGGCAAGCGUUGUCCGGAUUUAUUGGGCGUAAAGAGCGUGUAGGCGGCUUGGUAGGUCCGCUGUGAAAACUCGAGGCUCAACCUCGAGACGUCGGUUGAAACCGUUUGGCUAGAGUCCGGAAGAGGAGAGUGGAAUUCCCGGUGUAGCGGUGAAAUGCGCAGAUAUCGGGAAGAACACCCGUGGCGAAGGCGGCUCUCUGGGACGGUACUGACGCUGAGACGCGAAAGCGUGGGGAGCGAACAGG
rnacentral:rRNA from 1 species